rnacentral:rRNA from 1 species
UACAGAGGCCUCAAGCGUUAUCCGGAAUUACUGGGCGUAAAGGGUGUGUAGGUGGUUUAGUUAGUCUUCUGUUAAAUUCUUCGGCUUAACCGGGGGCAUGCAGGGGAAACGGCUAAACUUGAGGGUACGAGGGGUGCAUGGAACUCAUGGAGUAGGGGUGAAAUCCGUUGAUAUCAUGAGGAACACCAAAAGCGAAGGCAGUGCACUAGCGUACUUCUGACACUCAAACACGAAAGCGUGGGUAGCGAACGGG